rnacentral:rRNA from 1 species
AUGCACGGCGUGGGGCAGUCGGACGACGCGGCGGCGGCGGCGGCGCUGGAGCUGCAGGAGUCCGGGUGGGAGGAGCUGCGGCGGGAGGCGCGGAAGCUGGAGGGGGACCUGGACGUGAAGCUCUCCUCGUACGCGCGCCUCGCCGCGCGCUCCUCCUCCGCCUCGGCCUCGGCCUCGGCGGCCUCCCCCACCGCCGACCGCUCCUCCUGGAAGUCCACGGAGCUCGAGAUCCAGGCGCUGCUCGACAAGCUGCAGGACGUCAACGACGCCAUGAGCCGCUGCGCCGCCNNNNNNNNNNNNNNNNNNNNNNNNNNNNNNAAGCUCGCGCGCCACCGCGACAUCCUGCACGAGUUCACGCAGGAGUUCAGGAGGACGCGGGGGAACUUGAGCUCCAUGAGGGAGCACGCCGACCUGCUCAGCUCCGUGCGCGGCGACAUCACCGAGUCCAAGGCUACGGGCGGCAUGUCGCCGAGGGUGCAUUUGCUCCGGGAGAGGGCUUCCAUUCAUGGCAGCGUCAACCAGAUAGACGAGGUAAUUGGGCAAGCUCAAAGCACAAGAGCAGCCCUAUCCAAUCAGAGGGCCCUGUUUGGAGAUGUUCAGGGAAAAGUCAAGCAGUUAGGUGAAAAAUUCCCUGUGGUUCGGGGCCUCCUAGGCGCCAUCAAGAGGAAGAAAUCAAAGGACACGAUCAUUCUUUCAGCAGUAAUCGCGGCCUGCACCAUCUUUUUGAUCAUCUACUGGCUCUCAAAAUGA